rnacentral:rRNA from 1 species
UGAGGAAUAUUGGUCAAUGGGCGCAAGCCUGAACCAGCGACGCCGCGUGGGGGAUGAAGGGGCUUUGCCUCGUAAACCUCUGUCGGAUGGGACGAAAGGUGGCUUUGAGCCACUGGGACGGUACCAUCAAAGGAAGGAUCGGCUAACUACGUGCCAGCAGCCGCGGUAAUACGUAGGAUCCGAGCGUUGUCCGGAGUUACUGGGUGUAAAGGGUGCGUAGGCUGUUCUGUGCGUCAGAGGUGAAAUCCACGGGCUUAACUCGUGGGGUGCCUUUGAUACGGCAGGGCUUGAGUACGAGAGAGGUGCGUGGAAUUCCUGGUGUAGCAGUGAAAUGCGUAGAUAUCAGGAGGAACACCGGUGGCGAAGGCGGCGCACUGGCUCGUAACUGACGCUGAGGCAC